rnacentral:rRNA from 1 species
CACAGCCCUAAACUUCGAUAACAUCUUACAACUGUUAUCCGCCCGGGAACUACGAGCAUUAGCUUAAAACCCAAAGGACUUGGCGGUGCUUUAGAUCCCUCUAGAGGAGCCUGUUCUAGAACCGAUAACCCCCGUUAAACCUCACCUUCUCUUGUUCUCCCCGCCUAUAUACCGCCGUCGUCAGCAUGCCCUGUGAAGGAAUUAUAGUAAGCAAAAUUGGUAAAGCCCAAAACGCCAGGUCGAGGUGUAGCAUAUGAGAAGGGAAGAAAUGGGCUACAUUUCCUCAUGGAGGAAAUACAAAUUGUGCCAUGCAACAGCACAUGAAGGAGGAUUUAGUAGUAAGCAGGAAGCAGAGUGUCCUGCUGAACCCGGCCCUGAAGCGCGCAC